rnacentral:rRNA from 1 species
CCUACGGGAGGCAGCAGUGGGGAAUAUUGCACAAUGGGCGGAAGCCUGAUGCAGCGACGCCGCGUGAGGGAUGAAGGCCUUCGGGUUGUAAACCUCUUUCAGCAGGGACGAAGCGUGAGUGACGGUACCUGCAGAAGAAGCACCGGCUAACUACGUGCCAGCAGCCGCGGUAAUACGUAGGGUGCGAGCGUUGUCCGGAAUUACUGGGCGUAAAGAGUUCGUAGGCGGUUUGUCGCGUCGUUUGUGAAAACCCGGGGCUCAACUUCGGGCUUGCAGGCGAUACGGGCAGACUUGAGUGUUUCAGGGGAGACUGGAAUUCCUGGUGUAGCGGUGAAAUGCGCAGAUAUCAGGAGGAACACCGGUGGCGAAGGCGGGUCUCUGGGAAACAACUGACGCUGAGGAACGAAAGCGUGGGUAGCAAACAGGAUUAGAUACCCUGGUAG